rnacentral:lncRNA from 1 species
CAAAUGUCCAUCAACUGAUGCAUAAAUAAACAAAAUGUGGUAUAUCCAUCCAAAGGAGUAUUAUACAGCCACAAAAAGAAAUGGAGCACUGAUACACACUACAAUAUCUCUCAAUCUAGGCCCAACAAGGGUCCCCAUAGACAUAGAAUAAAGCAGUAUUGUUUGGUGGGGGGUUUAAUUUCACUCCAUCACAAGUGACCAUCGCAGCCCUGUCAUUGCAAUUUGUCACACUUUUUUGAUACUGAAGGUUCCUAAAUUACCAGCAAAGAAACUACACAAAGACACAAUCCUGCUUACCAAAGAAACAUCUGAAUUAUCAAUUUGGAAAUAGGAAAUAGGUAGAGGAAAACAGGAAACUUUGUGGAGGGGGGAAAAGCUCAUUCUGAACAAUUCACCCUCUAGUGAAGUUUCUGUUUAGGG